ensembl:lncRNA
GCUUUAAAUUGAAGGGUUUCUGCAUGACAGUGUCAGGACACACCAGGUUUAGUCUACUUUUCUGCUAGAGAAUUUUCUUUUUUCCAGUUUGGGUUGGAUUUGUUUCUAGGAGUCUCUUGUCCUAUUUUCUGCUGAAGUACAAAGGUAAAUAAAUGGUAUUUAGGUGAUUAGAAUCACUCUGUGCCCAUCCAGGCAUCUCACAAGGCCAUUAAGGAUGGAAAAGAGCUGAUUUGGGUUCUGGGGAGGUCCCUGUGCUCCAACCACUGAGGCUUUGAUGGCUUUGUUUGGUGUCAGUGCUCAGAAGAGUUUGCUCACGUUCCUUGCCCAAAGGCCAUGGGACGGAUCCACCUCCACUGUCCUGGGCCAAGUUUGAUUAUUAGGGAAAACUCCUGGUACCCUAUGGAUCCAGGAAAAUAUGGAAUUUGGCCUCCACCCCCCAUGCCCCAUCAGACCCAGCACAGACAGCUGUCAGUAACACCAUUUUCUUUCAUGCUUGAGAACUUUGACACCAGGAAUUUUUAGGGUGUAGUCACUGAGAGCAUUAAAAAUGCUGCACAAACCUCACACCAUUUACAAAAGCUCUUGGAGCACAAAGCCUCUAUGGCAAAUCAAAGAAAAACAUUGAGGCCAGAGAUCUGCAACUUUGUGGCAAUUACCAAACAUAAUUAUAUUCCUAUAAUGAAGAGACUAAAAACCUCACCAAAAUUCUAAUACAAUCAUGCAGUCAGAGAUACUCAUUACUCAUAGGACUCUGGAGUGAAUUUAACACUUGCAGUAACAUUUCUUGAAUGCUUAUGAACAAAAAUGUGCAAAUUUCUGUCCCCAGAUAAUGACAGAAUUAAAUUUGUCUGAUUCAGUGACUUUUUUGUUGUGCAACAAACCCAGAAGUUCAGGUGGAAAUCAGACCCUUCUGAGAUUUAAAAAGAGAUUCUGAUUCAACCCAGUGCUGGAGAAUCUGUUUGCAUUGAGGAAGUAGGAGGUGGCUUUUGGUGAUAUCUUAAACUCAGCUUCCAGCAAGGCUGAUGGGUUUAACCCUGGGAGUGACAGUCUGCCUGUGCCCAGCAACUGCUGUGCUCUGAACCCUGAACUGGGAGCUCGGCCUCAGGAAUCACCUGCAAGGCAAAAACUCUUUCCUGGUGGAUCAGAGAGUGGGAAGAGUCAGACUUGGGGGUUUAUUCUCUGUUUGCCUUCACUUGCUGCAAUAAAGCGUAGCAAUAUUGUGGCUUUCCGCAAUACAAGAAACUGAUGAAAGAGGCCCUUUAUUAAACCCAUCCUUAUAUUUGGAUAUUGCCAUGGAAAAUGAAGAGAAGCAGCUCCUGAACUACCUCCUGCCAUCUCCCAGCCCUCCAAGCAGUUCAGUGCUUUGUCCCAAUAAAAGACCAAUUUGUCUCUCCACGCUGCUCUGGGCCAAGGCCAAGUGACCCUGGCUGAGGGCAGGAGAAAUUAGGAAGGCCUGAGAGGCUGAAAUCCCAAGCUUCAGAGGAAAACAAAGCCAAGGGGUGCAGGAAACAAUGCCAGAGUUAAGGUGUUGGAUUGACCUUUCCUAUUUCUCCUUUGUGCUGGCAGAUGGUGUAGGAAGCCACUUCACCCAAAGGAUCACCAGGAGAUUCAGAAAUGUGUUACGCAGGUGCUUUUCAGUUCCCUUUUGUUCUGAGGUGGAGGUGUUUGAGGGCAAACAGGGAAAAAUAGGAAAGAACCAAGAUAAAAACAGUGAGUCUCUACCUGACCCUCGAGAUCAUCCAGAUGGGGCACAGACAGACCUCCAGAAAUUUCAAUUCUCCCACAUAAAUCCCACUGUGUCUGGCAGAACAAACCCCUGAUACACACCAGAUGUGGACACAGACCAGAUGUUGGUACACACCAGACGUUUUCAGUCCAGCACAUUCAAACACCCAUACCCCAAUCCCGGUUUUUUUGUACCCACCCUUAGCCCCAUGGUACCAAAGCUCUGGCCUCACCAUAAUCCUCCCCUCCCUGAAACCUUUGGAAAGUUUUGCCCUGAAUGAUUCCUCAGCCAUAAUUCCCAGCCAUGGGAAAGAACAGCUGAUAAAGUGCCCUUUUUGUAGCACUCAGGCUGUCCUGAUGGUGCUGAACUUUCAGGCUGUCUCUGGGGUGGAAUCUUGCCCUGGUCAUGAUUUUGUGGUGGCCAGGAGUGAGGCAGACUCUGAGCAGGGCAGUCUGUCUGGCUCCCCUGCUCUCUCCCUGGAAGCUUUUCUCCCAGGAAUGCUCACUGCCACAGUACCUGGCUCCAACAUUUUGCUCUUCUCCUGCACCUGUGACCAGGGAACAGCUCACAGGUUGUGGCCUGGGAGCUCCAUAAGGAGAAGGACUCACACUCAAUGACUGUCCUCAUCCCUCUGGUAACCCAGACCUUUUCCUGUUUUUUUAAUCUAUAUUUCUUAAAUUAUGACUUAUAGGCAGACUUAUGGUAUGUAUGGGCUUAUUUUCAGUGUCACCAAAAGUGGUUGGUGCUCAGCAGAUUAACUGCCCAAAGAACAGCAAGAGGUUGAGAACCCAACUUCCCUGCUCCUGCCCUUCAGCUUCUGCUGUUCUCAUAUGUGAUUUAAUUUAAUUUAAUUUAAUUUAGUUUUAAUCUCUGCACAGCUCUCCUGGAGCACUCAGUACCAUGAAUCAGCUGUGUGCUGAACAUGGCUACCCCAAACCUACAGCUCAGAACUCUGCACCAAUAGGAAACCUAAACUGUACGGUGUUAUUUGGGGUGUUACUGGAAUUUCUCCCCAUUUCCACAUGCUUGGCAGCCAGACCCCUUCCCAUGUCUCUGGGGGCAAAGUCACCUUUGUGGCACUUGGGUGAGGCCCCAGUAUCUUCCUGGGAACACUGAAUUCCAUGUGCCAGCACUGAAUUCCAUGUGCCAGCAAUACUGGCUCUUCAGGGCCUUUCUCACAUCACACUCAGAAACUCUUUUUGGCUGCUCUUAAUAGGACUUUAUCUCUUUUGUUGCACUCUUUUACUAAAGCUUCAUUAGAAACCAUCUCCAGUUGAUUUUUUCUGAUGGGAAAUGCAGGGUCUAUCACAGAUAAAAAUCCUGCUGCAAUUGGAAUUGCACAUGUAAUAGAUUAUAAUUGAAUUUUUAUUAAAACACUUUGCUUGCACUCUUAAUUGCUUUGUACAAAACAUGUGGCUGUAUUUUUCUCUCCAAGAACUCCAGGCCUUGCUUCCCAAGCAGUUUAUUGUCACCCUUCCUCUAGGAAAAGUUAAAAUGUAAAAUUUCACAACUCUCUUAAUUAACUUUCCUGCACUCUGUAGUUAAAAGGUAGUUAAACCCAUAAGCAUUCAUUCAACUUUAAUGAGGAUGGGGAAGUAAUUGCAUAUGCAUUUCUUUAUAAUUAUCACUUAAUUGCAUUACCAGUAGAUUUAUCUCUUGCUUAUUUAGCCAAGCUUAGUAAAGAAUGUAUAAGGCUGAGAUGAUGGUUGUUUGGGGCUGUUCCAAGAGCAACACAAUCAGGAGCAGAGAGCUUUGCACACCAGUCCAUACAGCAGGCAGCUGGGACAGAAUUUUUUUCCAGAUUUAGCAAAGACUUCUCCUUAAGACCAGCUUCAAAUGCUCGAUCAGCUGUGGGGGUGGUAAAGCUCUUCAAAGACCCAGCAGGAAGCCAAGAUAUCCAUCUUUCCAUUUCCUGGUUGGCUUUGAAGAGCUCAGCUCUUAAAAAGGAUCUUUGAUGCUUAAUUGUCCCUUCUGACAUAAUUCAGGCAUCAAAGAAAAUAAGUUUUGCUGGUCCAAGGAAAGCCCUUUGUGCUGAAGUAGCAGUGAUGUGUUGGAAACUUCAUCCUCUCCCUUUGUUCUCCAGUGUCCCCCAUGGGCCCAUCCUGCUGUGGAACAUGGGGAUGUUCCCUUAGGUCUGGGAAGAUGUCAUGGUUUGACACUGGCACAAUGCCAGCGUCCCUGUGAAAAUGCAACCUCUCAACUGAAUGCUGUGAAAUGCGAUCGAGAACAGAGCAAAGCAGGCCCAAGCUUAAUAACAAGGGGAAAAAACUGUAUUAAGCUACUACUACU